CCUACGGGUGACAGCAGUGAGGAAUAUUGGUCAAUGGACGAGAGUCUGAACCAGCCAAGUAGCGUGAAGGAUGACUGCCCUAUGGGUUGUAAACUUCUUUUAUAUGGGAAUAAAAUGUUCCACGUGUGGGCUUUUGUAUGUACCAUAUGAAUAAGGAUCGGCUAACUCCGUGCCAGCAGCCGCGGUAAUACGGAGGAUCCGAGCGUUAUCCGGAUUUAUUGGGUUUAAAGGGAGCGUAGGUGGAUUGUUAAGUCAGUUGUGAAAGUUUGCGGCUCAACCGUAAAAUUGCAGUUGAAACUGGCAGUCUUGAGUACAGUAGAGGUGGGCGGAAUGCGUGGUGUAGCGGUGAAAUGCUUAGAUAUCACGAAGAACUCCGAUUGCGAAGGCAGCGCACUGGACUGCAACUGACACUGAGGCUCGAAAGUGUGGGUAUCAAACAGGAUUAGAUACCCUAGUAGUC
rnacentral:rRNA from 1 species